AUUGAACGCUGGCGGCAGGCCUAACACAUGCAAGUCGGGCGGAUGAAGGGAGCUUGCUCCUGGAUUCAGCGGCGGACGGGUGAGUAAUGCCUAGGAAUCUGCCUGGUAGUGGGGGAUAACGUCCGGAAACGGGCGCUAAUACCGCAUACGUCCUGAGGAAGAAAGUGGGGGAUCUUCGGACCUCACGCUAUCAGAUGAGCCUAGGUCGGAUUAGCUAGUUGGUGGGGUAAAGGCCUACCAAGGCGACGAUCCGUAACUGGUCUGAGAGGAUGAUCAGUCACACUGGAACUGAGACACGGUCCAGACUCCUACGGGAGGCAGCAGUGGGGAAUAUUGGACAAUGGGCGAAAGCCUGAUCCAGCCAUGCCGCGUGUGUGAAGAAGGUCUUCGGAUUGUAAAGCACUUUAAGUUGGGAGGAAGGGCAGUAAGUUAAUACCUUGCUGUUUUGACGUUACCAACAGAAUAAGCACCGGCUAACUUCGUG
rnacentral:rRNA from 1 species